GGAGACUUAGAGGUUCUCAAUUUUGGGAACUUGGAGAACCAUAUUCUUCCAUCCAAAUCCAUGGAUGUAAGAAGCAAGGAAUGAAGGCCCUCUCUUUGGGUGAUUAGCCUUUGCUUAUGCAAAGAGGAAUCUACAAAGGUAUAAAUUUCUCAACUCACUUUGAUUUGAGUUGAGUCUUGGUUCACCAAUCUACUAGACUUUGAAUUUCAUGGGUAAUGUUUUGUUUUGAAUGCAUGCAAGCAUGAUUCCGCCUUUUAAUUGUUAAAUGCAUGCUAUAGAUGUUAUUCAAAUGAACAUGUUUUCACAAAAUCAUCCUUCAAGUGGUAUCAGAGCCUAGGUCUAGUAGUUGGUGAAUCCUUUUGGGUUUUGUGGUUCAUAGUUUGUGAUUUAAAAGUUGUAAUAUGUUACAAGCUUUAUUCUUGUUUCUUUGAAUGUAAAUUUUGUUAGAAAAUUUACCAUCUCAAAUGUUGUUGAUGUAGUUUUUAUGAGCAUGAAUAUUGGAGCUAAAAUUUGGUGCCAUGUUUUUGGGAAUUUUCGGCCAAAUCCAAAGGGUGGAAUUUUGGGUUCUUGUUUGACUUGUUAAAAGUGUUUUCAAGUAACUUUUGGAACCCCUAUGUACCCUAGUUUGGUUAUAUGUUAUUUCCCUAAAGUUUGAAUGGUUUUGGGAUGUUUUUGGAGUAAAAAUGUUCAUCGAAAUUUUUUGGGUUUUUCAUGAAUGUUCUUCAUUGUUCUUGACAUUUUUGCCAAGAACAAAAAGUUUUGUGUUUUGAUUCAAAGUUUUGAUUUAUUUCAUAAAGUUUAUGUUUUAUGUUUUUCAAAUGAUUUAAUGUGUUAGAUAUUUGUUUAAAUGGUGAUAGACAUAAUGGUGGGUGUGAAAGGAUUAAUUCCCUUUCACACACACCACUUGCACCACUUGCUUGCUUUAUGUCAAAACUCACAAAUCAACACACACAUCACUCCUUUCCCUCUCCAAAACCGGCCACCCUACAUGUAGGGUACUUUUGGGGCUUUUAUGCAAUUACAUAAAAUUUUGAUACUUUUGUGUAUUUGCACUUUGGCCCAAAAGUUUACGUUUUUACGUUUAGGUCCAAAAAUGCUAAAGGACAAAUUGUUUUGUUCCUUUAAUGAAGUUUUUGCAUUGUUUAAAUUUUGGGUUCUACUUGUAUUUACAUGAAGUAGUGGACUUUUUUGUUUUUACAAAGUGACCCCAAAAGUUUAUGUUUUUGCAAUAUAGCCCAAAUGUUGAGGUUAAUUGCUUUAUGGCCCAAAUUAGGUAGAGAACAAAAUUGUUUUGUCUCUUUAAAUGAGAAUUGGAUUUUCAUUUUGUUUAGCUCCAUUUAAAUCAAUUUUAUGGAUACAAAAACCAAAUGAAAAUGUUGCAUUCAAAUUAAUUAGUUAAAGUGUUAAUUAAUUAAAGGGUGAUUAUGAACCUAAGCCUACGAUAAUUGAGCUAUGUGAUAG
rnacentral:lncRNA from 1 species